CAGAGUUUAGCUGGUUGAGAAAACUCCCAAUGAAAUCCUUCAUCAAGUUAGGUGGUGGAGGACUGAUAACGACACCCUGAAGGAAUACAGCUUCCAGUUUCCACUUAAAGUGACCUUAGACUGGCUGAAAUGUACUUAAUACAAGAAAGGAAUUGGGCUGAAUUGACUCCAUUUCUCAAAAAUAUACAAUUUCAAGAUGAGAUCUCUCUGUAAACUGCAUAUCUUUCAUAACAUCUGUGUAAAGCAGGACUGGAUGAUCCUGUUGAGGGCCCCAGGGAAGUUUACUGCAGUCUGUACAUGCUAACACUAUCUGGCUUCAGGUUUUCUAUGUGUCACUUUGAUUGUAUUCAUUUGAUUAAACGCAACUUUAUUUAGCAAUAUGCACAAAUAGAGAGUAAAAUAAUACAGCUCAUAAAACUAAAUUUUGACACUCUUAAAGACACUCAGGUUGAUGGCACUGCAAUGGACUGUACUGCACCCUCAUAACAAAAUAAGCCUUUAAAGCUGUAGUAGGUCAUUUUAAGUCAUAUUUGUUCUUUCACUAUAUCCUGACAGUAGUACAUGAUACAGAUAAUCUGUGAAAAAGGCCACUCUGGCUCAUCUUGGUCCAGUUUGUUGUGGCAUUAGCAAGAAUCCACUGUAUCUGAAAGAAAACAACCAAUCAGAGCCAAGAAAGAUAGUUUCAAGAGUCUCAAGAAUCAGCAAUCAAUUAUCUUCAACCCGCCAAUCCAGUGUCUGUAUUUGAUGACUUAGGAGUGAGACUCAACAAUCAACUAUCUUUCUUGAUUCCAGAAUAAGUCUACCAUGUACUGCACCUGUUUCCAACGGCAUCUUACGAACAGGUCAUUCUUAUCAAAGACUCCAGGGGGCAGAAUUGGCUUGGUGUUUAAGAGCCAGAUGUGGUUUGGGGUAAGCGGUUCAACGACUGUUCAAGAUAACCUCUACUACACACAAUAGAGUUUGCAGCCUCUCUUCAUCUAGAGUCUGCUGUUUCAAAACAGAAUGGAGCACCUGCCGAACAGAUCUUAUGAGAUGCUCCCAUACUCCUCCAUGGUGGAAUGCUCCUAGGGGGUUGAAACUGCACUGUAUCAUGGUGAAAGCAAGGCUCUUUGAAUCCUGUGCAGAGAGGGCUUCUCUCAUUUCCCUCUGGGCCCCAACAAAAUUAGUCCCAUUGUUGGACCUAAUAUGCUUUGCUUGUCCUCUUAUACAAAUGAACUGUCUCAAGGCAUUGAGACAUGAGUCUGUGUCAAGGGAGUUGCCCUAAUAGUCAUGCAAGUGAAUAACACGCCAUAGCUCUUCAAUAUGGUACGUCCUAAAUAAUAAUCAACACCAAACGUUGGUAAAUGGGGGCGAAUCUGGCUCAAGCCUUUUUCUGUGGCAUUCACCUAUUGUUUUCCUUACUGCUGAGUUGGCUUUGAUUAUCCAAUAUCUUUUGCCAACCUCAGACAAAAUGUGGGUUCUUCCCCCAUGUCCAGUCUUUUCAUGCAUGUGUCAAUUUUUGUCUCUUCCAGCAUAGCUGCCCUACUCAGGCGUCCUCCACUCUGAGCACACCAUCCUUUGACACUGGGUCGAGCUUAUAGAUGUUACUUGUCUUUUUGACACCAUUUGUCACCACUUGCAAUAUUUCCUCUGGAAAGUACUGCUUUUGGGUUUGACAGAUGAUUGUGUUCUCUGCCUUCUCUAGAUCUUUCAGACAAAUGAUCUGUUUACCCAAUGUGGCUUUGACACUUUUCCUUUUCUGGUCAGAAACAUUGCCGCUGCCUCCAGUGCUUGUAUUUCAGCCACUUGCAGUGGAAUGAAACUCUCUGCUUCUGUGCGACAGCAGUUUCAACAUUUCUUUGAGCUUCAGAAACCAUGCUACUGCAACCUUCAGUGUACUCCAGCUGGAGAAUGCAUGAGGGGCUUGUCUGUAGGAUUCUCAUUGCUUACAGUAGAGUUUCUUUUGACUUUUCUGACCACCACAGUAUAUCAUCCCAGAUUCUUCAUAAAUGUGUCUGCAUUCUUCCCCCUAGAGGGGGCAUCAGUAGGAUUUCGCUUUGGGUUCACGUAUCUCUGAUGAUAUGGUAAAUGGUAAAUGGACCUGUACUUGUAUAGCGCCUUUCUAGUCUUCUGACCACUCAAAGUGCUUUUACACUACGUGCCACAUUCACCCUUUCACACACAUUCCUCCAGUGAUGGCAAAGUCCAUCGAACAGAAACUAACAAUCAUACACAUUCACACAGCGAUGCACGGCAUCGGGAGCAAUUUGGGGUUCAGUAUCUUGCUCAAGGAUACUUCGACAUGUGGCACCAGGAGCCGGGUAUCGAACCCACAACCUUCCUCUGAGCCGUAGCCGCCGGAUAUCUCCCUGAUAAUGGAGAUCCUGUUAGCAAUAAAUGUGUGGAACCUCGGAGUACUUUAUCCACUCUAGUGGCCAAUACCUGCAGCAGCCAGCUCCAUCUGGAGUGUAUUCUUCUUGAGGGGAGCCACUUUUCUCAUCAUCAUUAAUGAAACAUGAAGGGUGUUUUGUCAUUCAUCACUCUCAAAUAGCCAACAAACCUUGCGCACUUAGUUGUGCCUGCAUGUGUCAGCCAAAGUCGUUGGGUGUGAGGCAUCUUCUCACCUUGAAGUCAGUGAUCCUCAGGAUCUUCCAUUUAACCCACAGUUCAGAGAACAUCUUGGGUACUUCCUCCUCCAUAGUUCAGUUUACAUAGCUCCUUUAGCAGUUUAGCAGGCAGAGUGAAGGUAGUCCACCACUAAAUCCUUUAUAAUGUUUUUUUCUGCGCGUUAUCUGUCCAAGAUAAAUUCAAGAUUAGAUUAAUUUAAUUAAUAAUAAUUAAUUUCCACUUCUAAAUCAAUAUGAAUACUUCAGCAGACUUGCGUUUAGCAUCUUUCUGUUGCAGUCACAUCAUUCCAAUCCCGGUAUGAAGUAUUAAAUUAGGCGCAGGGAUGCAUUGUAAUUUCCUUGCACUGACAAUCCGAAUAAAUUAAUAACAAUCCAACGUGGAGUAAAAUUCAUUCAUUUCUACUUCUGAUUCUGAUUCUGAUAAAAAUCAUCUCCUUCGUCUUGCUGGUGUUUAACUGAAGCUGGUUGAGCUCACACCAGCUGACAAAGUCCCUGAUGACCGUCCUAUGUUCCAGUUCGUUCCCCUCAUAAACACAUCCACCAAUGGCUCGCUCUUCCAUUUCUUCCAUCAAAAUUCUCUCCUUGCUUUUACAAAUGUUGCAUAAAAAAACAACCACUAAAUUAUUAUUGUAAACAAAAAAUAAUAAGUAAUAAUAAUAAUAAAUAAAAAAUAAGUAAGCAGAUUUAGAGAUGACAUGCAAGCUGCACAGUCUAAAGACUGUCAGCCACAGCACUGGCUCGCAUCUUCCUGCAGGGUUACACACAGUAUUAAUAAACACACACACAAUACAAAAUGGCCAAUAUAAGAAGUGAUACAUUAAAAUAUAUGAAUAAAAUAAAAUGGGCUCCUACAUUAUUCAUUUAUUCUUAUAUAUUUGGGGGGGUCUGUAAUAGGUUUGCUUCAGUUGUGAGACCAUCCUCUGUGAAUGUGUAUUUGUUUUAAAAUAAAUAAAAACUGAUUUGAAAAGAAAAGAAAUGGCUUUCAUGUAAAAGGCUUUGCACUCUGUAUCUGCAGCAUGUUAUUUGAUGGGAGUGAUGGUUGAGCUGGAAUAAAAACACAACUGCCAGUUUGGAUGAGAUAAA